ensembl:snoRNA
CGACCCGCGUUCCCCCCGGCGCCGCCAGCCGCGGGCGCUCGGGGUUUUAGCGGUGUCGCAGAGCAGCGGCGGCUCCUUCUUCACCCGGCGGAGCAGAGGAGCCUUCGGAGCUCCGCCGGAUUUUGGGGGGUCGUACAAAU